rnacentral:rRNA from 1 species
GAAAAAUGUCGAUUGUGGAACUAGGCACGAAUAGAGUAGGGCGGGACACGUGAAAUCCUGUCUGAACAUGGGGGGACCAUCCUCCAAGGCUAAAUACUCGUAAUCGACCGAUAGUGAACAAGUACCGUGAGGGAAAGGCGAAAAGAACCCCGGGAGGGGAGUGAAAUAGAUCCUGAAACCGCAUGCAUACAAAAAGUAGGAGCCCGAAAGGGUGACUGCGUACCUUUUGUAUAAUGGGUCAGCGACUUACAUUCAGUGGCAAGGUUAACCGAAUAGGGAAGCCGUAGAGAAAUCGAGUCCGAAUAGGGCGUUCAGUCGCUGGGUGUAGACCCGAAACCAAGUGAUCUAUCCAUGGCCAGGAUGAAGGUACCGUAACAGGUGCUGGAGGUCCGAACCGACUAGUGUUGCAAAACUAGCGGAUGAGCUGUGGAUAGGGGUGAAAGGCUAAACAAACUUGGAAAUAGCUGGUUCUCUCCGAAAACUAUUUAGGUAGUGCCUCAAGUAUUACCAUCGGGGGUAGAGCACUGUUUAGGCUAGGGGGUCAUGGCGACUUACCAAACCUUGGCAAACUCCGAAUACCGAUGAGUACAGCUUGGGAGACAGAGCACCGGGUGCUAACGUCCGGACUCAAGAGGGAAACAACCCAGACCGCCAGCUAAGGUCCCUAAAAUUGGCUAAGUGGGAAACGAAGUGGGAAGGCUAAAACAGUCAGGAUGUUGGCUUAGAAGCAGCCAUCAUUUAAAGAAAGCGUAAUAGCUCACUGAUCGAGUCGUCCUGCGCGGAAGAUGUAACGGGGCUAAGCCAGUUACCGAAGCUGCGGAUUUGCACGCAAGUGCAAGUGGUAGGAGAGCGUUCUGUAAGCCUGUGAAGGUGGGUUGUGAAGCCUGCUGGAGGUAUCAGAAGUGCGAAUGCUGGCAUGAGUAACGACAAACACUGUGAAAGACAGUGUCGCCGAAAGUCCAAGGGUUCCUGCGUAAAGUUAAUCUUCGCAGGGUUAGCCGGUCCCUAAGGCGAGGCCGAAAGGCGUAGUCGAUGGGAAUGCAGUGAAUAUUCUGCAGCCAGUGGAUGGUGACGAAUCCCGUGUGUUGUCCGACCUUACUGGAUUGGUUGGGCCUCGAAGGGGUUCCAGGAAAUAGCCUCCACAUUAGACCGUACCCGAAACCGACACAGGUGGACUGGUAGAGUAUACCAAGGCGCUUGAGAGAACUAUGUUGAAGGAACUCGGCAAUUUACCUCCGUAACUUCGGGAUAAGGAGGACCUCUCAUCAGGCAACUUUUGAGGGGUGGCACAGACCAGGGGGUGGCGACUGUUUAACAAAAACACAGGGCUCUGCGAAAUCGCAAGAUGACGUAUAGGGUCUGACGCCUGCCCGGUGCCGGAAGGUUAAGAGGAGAGGUGCAAGCCUUGAAUCGAAGCCCCGGUAAACGGCGGCCGUAACAAUAACGGUCCUAAGGUAGCGAAAUUCCUUGUCGGGUAAGUUCCGACCUGCACGAAUGGCG